AACAUUUGACAAUGGGGGCAACUCUGAUCCAGUCAUGCCGCGUGUGUGAAGAAGGUCUUCGGCCUGUAAAGCACUUUAAGUAGGGAGAUAGGGCUUUAGGCUAAUACCCUGAAGUUUUGACGUUACCAACAGAAUAAGCCCCGGCUAACUCUGUGCCAGCAGCCGCGGUAAUACAGAUGGUGCAAGCCUUAAUCGGAAUUACUGGGCGUAAAGCGCGCGGAGGUGGUUCAGUAAGAUGGGUGUGAAAUCCCCGGGCUUAACCUGGGAACUGCUUGCAUAACUGCUGAGCUAGAGUACGGUAGGGGGUAGUGGAAUUGCCUGUGUAGCGGUGAAAUGCGUAGAUAUAGGAAGGAACACCAGUGGCGAAGGUGACUACCUGGACUGAUACUGACACUGAGGUGCGAAAGCGUGGGGGACAA
rnacentral:rRNA from 1 species